rnacentral:misc_RNA from 1 species
UUUCCGUAGGUGAACCAGCGGAAGGAUCAUUACCACACACGAUCCAAGAUCGCCACUUUUUGUCCUUUGUUACUCUUUUUUUAACUGCUCGUCCUUGUUGGUGUACACGCCUUCAGUAAAGUAAGUAAAAACUAUAUUCAACACCCCUUCUUAAACAUGAAUUCUACACUGGAACAUUUAAGUUAUAUGUCUUUACCGACUAUAACGCUAGAUUAUAAAUUGUAAAACAACUUUUAACAAUGGUUAUCUACGUUCUCGCAUCGCUGAAGAACGCAGCAG